GGAGGGUAAACGGUCGGCCUCGAGUCACACGGCUUGCUCGAGGUCGAGCUAGGACUUGAACCCAGGACGGCUGGUUGCGGAAGCUGAGCACUGAUCCAUGAUUGGCCUACAGCGUGUAUCUGAACCGGAAUUUGGGGGAUCCACUCCCCCUCGGACAAUGGCACUGUCCCCAUCUCCACCCUGAGGACCGGCCGCGUGACCUCAGCAAGGCCGGUUUGCCUCUCAGCGCCUCGGUUUCCCCAUCUGCACAACGGGGGAGGGGCCGUGGACCCAGGAGGUGACUCCUGUCACCAGCGUCAGAGCAGACUUGCGCCCUGAGUCUUGAAGACCGAGGACGAUGCACACGCCAGAAGGAAAGGCAUCCCUUGUGGAGGGAACGGCCGAGGCGAAUGCUUGGAGGCAGAAAGAGAAAAAAAAAAAGUCACAAAUUCUGGUCUCAGCUGGAACCCAGAGUGGCUCCCCCUGGACAGAGCAGCCUGGUGGGGCUUUGCAGGACAAGAUCUCAAGUCAGAACCCACCCUGAUGCAGACAGCCGGGCUCAGGAACGUAGAUCCUAGAGUCCGAGAAGCACUUGCAGAGUGGGGGGUCAUGAGAGCUGGCACCCCCCAGAGCUACUGUUAGGACAAGAAGAGCUGAGCCAACUGUGUAAACACUCAGCGCACACUCAAGUACUCACAGGGCGGCUGCUGUUACUACGGUUCCAACCAGGACCACGCAGAUCAUUUUUUAACAGUUAUAUAUUCAUUUCAAUGUAUAUCCUCCCAAAUUUAUGGACACCAUCUACUCCGCUCAAAAAAAUAUAUAUAUCUGGGUUUCCACAGUAGGAUAUAA